UUAUGUGUGGAGAGCAUGAGAUUUAUAAAUUAUAAAGUGAUAAAAUCAUAUUUUACUUAUACAUGUAAAUGGGGAAAGCUAUGUCUGAAAUCAUCAAAUUUGUUCAUGUUAUGAUUAUUUUGUUUUAUCUAUUUCUUGUUGCAACGAUUAUUGAUGGUAAACCUUUUCUUUAUCAUUUUUAAAUUUCCUUAUUUACUUCAUAUAUAAUAUUUUUUUUUUAUCUUAUUAAUUUUAGUUACAUUCUUUUAUUCCCUUUAUUCAAUACAGCGGCACGUACCCCAUGUUUACAAGAUUCUGAUUGUCCACAGAAUAUGUGUAUUUAUCCUUUUAUACCAGGGUGUUUUUCUGGAUAUUGUAGGUGUUAGGAUGAUGCAAUAAAGCACACAAACUGCUCUAGUAAAAUAUUUCACGAGUUGUCAUUUAGUUAUUA
rnacentral:lncRNA from 1 species